rnacentral:rRNA from 1 species
GACGAACGCUGGCGGCGUGCUUAACGCAUGCAAGUCGAGCGGUAAGGCCCCUUCGGGGGUACACGAGCGGCGAACGGGUGAGUAACACGUGGGUGACCUGCCCUCAGCUCUGGGAUAAGCCUGGGAAACCGGGUCUAAUACCGGAUAUGACUCCAUGACGCAUGUUGUGGGGUGGAAAGCCUUGUGCGGCUGAGGAUGGGCCCGCGGCCUAUCAGCUUGUUGGUGGGGUGAUGGCCUACCAAGGCGACGACGGGUAGCCGGCCUGAGAGGGCGACCGGCCACACUGGGACUGAGACACGGCCCAGACUCCUACGGGAGGCAGCAGUGGGGAAUCUUGCGCAAUGGGCGAAAGCCUGACGCAGCGACGCCGCGUGAGGGAUGACGGCCU